rnacentral:lncRNA from 1 species
UACUAUAUAAUUAUCCAGACUAGACCCCCUCUCUCAUCGUCUCUCUCAAAUCAUUUUUCUUCAGAGACCAAGUGAACCCUAAGCGCCACCCUUAUUUCCCCACCGCCUCCGCCGAUGCCACUGCCUCCGCCGAUGCCACUGCCUCCAAUCACUCCCAAAAUAACACUCCAUGACCAUCAAGAUUCCCUCAUUCCAAAUACCUAACCACUUUCCUUUGAAUCAUCCUGGAGCCUCACAUAUUUUAGAUCGAAGCUUAACCCGAAAUCCCAAAAAGAGCUGAUUAUCGAGGUUUCAAUAUUUUGAGGUUAAGAUGGACUUUAAUAAUGUUUUUUCAGUAGAGAACAUACGAUUGAAGUCUAUCUCUGCCAAAUAAUAGGGGAUUCUUUGGAAAAGUUAAUUCAAACUUGGUUUCCCUUGGUUUAGAAGGUAAGUCCAGUUCUCCCGGUCAUUUCCUCUCUUAGUUUCUUCUAUUUUUCCCUCUCUUUCCUCCGUUUUCAAAAUCAUCUCUGCAUGCAGUUUAUUUUUUAGAGUUAGCAUUAAUUAUUAGUUUCUUCUAUUCUGUUUAAAUUUGCUAGAUUAGUUUUGGUCUAAUUUCUUUUGCUUUUAGUUUUGGGAGUCUGAAUUAUCUUUCCUGCCUUCUCAUUUUUUAUGAAUUACAUAGUUAGACCUGGGCCUAAGGAAAGGGGUCAGCCCAGGUCUUUUCAGAAUUAGUUUGGGUUGAGUCUUUGGGUCCAGUUGACCCGUGAACUUGGCUGGAAGGGUAACAAGGGUUGAAAGGGUAAUAUGGGUAACUAACUUAGGGAAUCUGGGUAUAAGAGCCUUAGGAAGCUUUCAUGAAAGGGGGGUUGAGACUAAUUAGAAUUUCUGAAAUUUAGCCUAAGGUUUCCUAAGAAAAAAUCAAAAUUAGAAAAGGACUGAGGUGUAAAAAUUGGUUCCUCAAGGCUUCCCUAGUACCUUGCCUAUAAAUGGAUCAUAACUUGACAAUCAAGUUAGGAAGUAAGAGAUAAAAAUCUAGAAAAAUUAAAAUGACUGCUUUUCCUUGAAAAAAAUUCUAAAAAAAAACCUGAAAUCCUUGCAGUUUCUAAGAAUUAUUGCACAUUCUUUUUGGUUUUGGUCCUUUAAUCCUCACAGGAUAUAAACAAAACACUGAAAUCCUACAGUUCUACAUUGUUGUUCGAAAUAGGGUAAACAGUUAGAUAUUUAAGAGUUUGGGUGUGUAUUUUGGCUGCGGGAACACCAUUUCAUUGCUGGGUUUCAGCUGAUUCUACUGUUGUUUUCCUGUUUCAUUUAGGUUGCUGUUACUUCUGCUUCCUCUUAGUUUCAGACUAAAAUUUUGGUCUAUUUUGCUGUUAUUCAGGUACACACUUCUGCAUUUCACCUAAUGUAAGGCUUGAGUUGGAAUCAAAAUCGAAAUCUGGAGCUUUGAGUAGUAGUCACAAUUAGUUUUGUUCAUAGUUUAGUUUACUUUGCUUACUUGCUUAGUUCCUAAUCUAUCAUAUAUGGAAUUCUGUUAGCUGUUAACAAAUACUACGCUGUGAGCUGUACUUGGUUUAAAAUUAGCAGAGGAGCUCAAUUUUCAUUUGGAUGUCUCAUAGUUAGUUGUUGGUAAUCUGAAUAGGAUAGUGACUUAUGAAUCUGACCUUAUAAAACAAUGUAAUGGCAAUAUGUUGCACCUGCACUUUUUUGCCUGUUAGUUCAUUAAGAUUGUUGUAACAAGUUUUUAGUUAAGUAAUGCUAUGUUUGUGAAAUGGAUGAUGAAAUGGACCUUAAGUUCUUUUGAACAUGUUUAAGUUGGAAAGGGUGUUUUAGAUAAUCAAAAUGAUCAAUUAUUUGAUGCAUGUUUGGAUAGCCAAAAUUCAGAAAUGAUAUAUAUUGCUAGUUUAGUUUCUCGUCUCAUGCAGUUUAUUGCUCGAUUUGCAUUCAAUCGAUUUUGUGUAACUGUUGGUGCUGAAGAAUGAGGUUAUAAAUGGCUGAAAUUUAGUUUGAGCUCUAAAUAAAAAUGGAAUGCUACGCAUCUGUUGUUAUUGGAAUAAUUGGAGUUAACCAAAUUUUUUUCUCUUACUUCAAAUGAUGCUAUGGUUUAGUGAAACCUCACCCUUUGGUUGCUUGCUUGAUUAAAAGUCUGACAUGGAUCAGCUAGUGUUUUUUUUGAAAUGUACGUCGCUUAGUGCUAUGAAGGGACUCGAUCUUGAUUCCAAAUUUUAACAAGGCUGCUUUACCCUUAGGAUUGAGCUUCCUUCGUUGGGCCUGAGCUGAUACAUUGUGAGGCCUACCAUUGGCACCCCUGUAAUAUUAUGGGAUUUUUACAUAUACAUCCCAUAUACCAAACCUUAUAACCACUCAUGUUUAAGGUUU